rnacentral:piRNA from 4 species
CCUUCCAAGCAGUUGACCCGGGU